CUUGGUCGGGCAUAGUUUUCUUCACAAAACUAGCCACUAUUCUUCCCCCUUACCAUCUUCCAGACUCGGAAUAGUUUGUGCAAGACGACUUUCUCAAUUACAACGUUGGCCUAUAAAGUCCUUGAAAUGCAAAGCAAUGCUGCUGCCAACAGCAGUUCAUAGUCUUUAUGACUUCGCUGUUUUUCCAUUGCAUAUGCAAAGCAACGCAUAGCUUCAAUCUUGCAAGUCGAUGUAACUGAAGAUUCCAUUAUUAACAUCUCUCGGCUUUUGAAAGGAUUUCCAAAUUUUUUUCCAUUAAAAGAAAUGCAGCGAUUAUUUUUUUAUUUCCUCUACGAUGUUUCAUUCUCGAUUCUUCUUCAAGGGUGGUCUUUUAAGAAAUCUGACAACUCCAUUUUGUAGCGUCUGUCUUCUGCUCUGUUGUCUCAUCAAGCGUCGUGUCUCGUGUGUCU